GGCUGUGACGGUGAUCUGGGUGCUGUAUCUGUUACUCCAAUGAUUGCUAAGGAUGAGAGUGUCCCCUUUCUCCCUCGCCACCCCACGUAUGUCCCUCCUACAACAUGCUUGGUAGAAGAUGACCUUUCCUGAAGAGACAGACAGGCCUUUGAUUGAGGGUAUACCAGAAGCUAUGCUUCCUUGCCAGAACCUCUACAUAAGCUCUCAAGGUGACUAUAUCCCAGCAGCCUCCAUUCUCCUCAUUUCUGAGACUCAGACUGGUUAAUUUG
rnacentral:snRNA from 1 species